CAAUAGCGUAUAUUUAAGUUGCUGCAGUUAAAAAGCUCGUAGUUGGAUUUCGGGUGGGAAUGGCCGGUCCGCCGUUUCGGUGUGCACUUGCUACGCCCACCUUGCUGCCGGGGACGUGCUCUUGAGUUCACGCUCGGGACACGGAGUCGGCGAGGUUACUUUGAGUAAAUUAGAGCGUUCAAAGCAGGCCUACGCUCUGAAUACAUUAGCAUGGAAUAACACGAUAGGACUCUGGCCUAUCUUGUUGGUCUGUAGGACCGGAGUAAUGAUUAAGAGGGACAGUCGGGGGCAUUCGUAUUUCAUUGUCAGAGGUGAAAUUCUUGGAUUUAUGAAAGACGAACUACUGCGAAAGCAUUUGCCAAGGAUGUUUUCAUUAAC
rnacentral:rRNA from 1 species